GUCAUCUCAGUGACAUUUUGGGAGAUGAAGUUAUGAUGGGGAGGAAGAGUGGGAAAGUCCUAGUGUGUGAGCACUGCCUGUUGUCUUGCUUGGUCUUGUUCUGGGAUCAGCAUGUCUACCGGCAGCCUGAAUUCUCCUAUUCUUGCUGCUGUGGAGAAGCUCCCUGGAGCAGAGAUUCUGUGCCCUACUGACAGCUGUGACUGAGUAGGGAUACCAUGAAAAUCUAUCUCUGCCCCACCACUCCACCA
rnacentral:lncRNA from 1 species